rnacentral:lncRNA from 1 species
AUUCUGCCAUUUUAUCUUGGGUUUCUACAGCUUUCUGGAAUUGCUCAACCUUCCUGAGCCUCAAAGUUCUUAUUUGUAAACUAGAGGCAAUAAGCCUACCUUGUAGGGGGUAGCUGUAGAAACAAGAUCUAAGGAAUGCAAAGCACACUUUCUGACACGAUUGAGUGCAAAAUAGUGAUCACCAAUAUUUUAGACACAGGGCAACCUGGAUCCAGUGUAUACCUAAAGGAGUUUUAACAGCUUGCCUUGUAUUCUUUUGCUUGAAGAGGCCACCUAGUAUAGCUGAAAGGUAGUAUUUUUAUUUAUAUUUAGCUGAAAAGUAAUAUUUACAUUUAUACUCUGAGUUGAAAAGAUACAUAGGUAUAAAACAGAAGUUAUACUUGGAAAACCGAAAAAAUAUUCUUUUACUUUUUUCAUUACAAAAAUAGUGGCCAGCUAAUUCAAUUCAAGAAGUUUUCCUAGCAUCUAUUUUGUGCAAGACAAUGUGUAAGCUGCAAUGAGUAAUCCCAUCCCAGUGAGGGGAUUAAGAUGGGCAUGAGAAUUAAAAUGGGAAUAAGACACCACACAAGAGAGACAAUUCAAACACAAGUUAAAUGGGAGGCCAAGGCGGGUGGAUCACCAGGUCAGGAGUUCAAGACCAGCCUGGCCAACAUGCUGAAACUCUGUCUCUACCAAAACUACAAAAAUUAGCUGGGCGUGGUAGCAAGCACCUGUAAUCCCAGCUGCUCUGGAGGCUGAGGCAGGAGAAUCGCUUGAACCCAAAAGGUGGAGGUUGCAGUGAGCUGAAAUCGCACCACUGUACUCCAACCUGGAUGACAGAGAGACUCUGUCUCAAAAAAAAAAAAAAAAAAAAUCUGUAUGCAAUGGGAAUCUCUGGAAGACUUUUACAGAUGGAAAUGCAUGGAAAUCAUAUUGAUUUAGAGAAAAGGGGUGUGUGCUGUUUAGGAGAGACUGAAGGAGGUAUGGAAUAGGAACAGGGACAUCUAAUGGGAAACCAUUGGAGAAGUACUUAACUGGCAAGAGGUAACAAAAUCAUGGACAAGACAGGGGCUUGAUAAGAUAUAAUGGCCCAGCAUGAGAAUCCCUUGAACCUCGGAGGUGGAGUUUGCAGUUAGCCAAGAUCACACCACUGCACUGCAGUCUGGGUGACAGAGUGAGACUGUGUCUCAAAAAAAAAAAAAAAAAAGCUGUAAUGGCCCACAUUUAUACUACUAAUUGGAGAAAUUCAAUAAUAGAAAAUACAAUGAAUAUCUAAAACAACUUUAAAAAAAUCAAUUUCAUAAUAUAAUUGAGAAGCCAAAAAGAUUGGUACAAUGGGAGUCAUUAACAAGAAAUAGCAAAGAACCAUGGCUGUCUCUGAAUUAACUAACUAAACAAUAUGGAACUUUAAAAGUAUGAUACAAGUGUAAUA